GAUGAACGCUGGCGGCGUGCUUAACACAUGCAAGUCGAGCGAGUAGUUUUGAAUUGCUUCUUCGGUUGAAAUUUAAAAUGUAAAUCGUCCGUCGGGAGAUUAACGCUUAGGCAACCUGCCCCAUGCAAACGGAUAGUAAUUGGGCACGAAUAUUAAUACCGUAUGAAACUUAUCUAGUGCAUGCUAGGUAGGUCAAAGAUUUAGCGGUGUGGGAUGGGCCUGCGGCUGAUUAGCUAGCUGGGGAGGUAAUCGCUCACUAAGGGGACGAUCAGUAACCGUCCAGCGAGGAUGAGCGGCCAAAUUGGAAGGGAGGCACGGGCCAAAAUCCUACGGGAGGGAGCAGAGGGGAAUAUUGCACAAUGGGGGAAAGUCUGAAGCAGCAACGCCGCGUGAAGGAUGAAAGCCUUUGGGUAGUAAAGUUCUGUUAUAGGUGAGGAAUACUGACAGUAACAAAAGAGAAAGCCCCGGCUAACUCCGUG
rnacentral:rRNA from 1 species